GACCCCAGCAGUUGUGCCUAGCGCAGACGUCUCUGUUCAACUCAACUCAACUUCCUCAGUUGCAACUCCUCCACACAACCUCGCUGCAACUCCUCUACACAACCUCCGUGCAACUUUACGUAACCUCAGAACACCUUCACGCAACCUUGCUCCAACUCCUCGCAACUUCAGUGCAACUCCACGUUCUCUGUGCACCUCCCAAGCAACCUCGCGACAUCGUACAAGGGGACAGCAAGAGGGAAGGAAGCACAAAUUGCUCCUCUAUCAUCGGGCAUUCCAGGCAGUUAACGGGACCCGGUAACACCGUAAAUACUUUGACAUUCACAUUUGCCUUGCUGCUGCUACUACUACAGGCCUUGUGUUUGUAUCAGGGGGGAGUGGGGGGGGUACUCUAACGUUCUGUCUUCCAGAAUCCUCCCCGGGUCUACUCUCCUUUUAUCUUUGAACAUCAUCUCAACAUCUCGGUACAGCUCCAAACCAAGGAAGCCCCAACGGGGCAGAGAUCCCAGGCAGUGACGGGACAGGGAGCCAGGUCUGCGUCUUUGAUGUCUCGGCUCAAGUGCAGAGGAAGGAAGUGCAAACGGUCGAAUCGGCGGUGGAUACGGGCAGUUAGCGGACCUCCUGGACCCCAGCAGUUGUGCCUAGCGCAGACGUCUCUGUUCAACUCCACGCAAUUCCUUACUGGAACUCCACACAGCCUCGGUGCUACUCAACGCCACCAGGGAGUGUCCAAUGUCUCUUGCUACCCACAGCAGCAACAUUAUUACUAUGCAAUGGUCAUGAGCAGUGCUGCUAGGUAGCCACGAGUGUGAACACGGAGGUCGUGUUUAUCGUUGUCAAGGCUGAGCGGGUGAUGGUGACGAUGGGCGGAAUGGGAGAAACGCCAACCCCCUACCGCUGUUACAACCCAGUCCUGGACAGGAGAGGCCAGGGACGACCAACAGCGUCCAUCAGGGAGUGUCAAUGUCUCUCGCUACCCACAGCAGCAGCAUUCUUUAUUAUCAAUGGCAAUGAGCCGUGCUCUGUAGCCACGCGUGAGCAUCAUGGAGGUUGUGUUUUAUUAUUGUCAAGGCUGAGCGGGUGGUGGUGAUGGGGAAUCGGACACGCUGGCAUCCGUUCCUGCCCCCCCCAACUUUGAGAAAGAUGUCUCUGGGCGAGUUCUCAACCCAGGACCCCAGCAGUUGUGCCUAGCGCAGACGUCUCUGUUCAACUCCACGCAAUUCCUUACUGGAACUCCACACAGCCUCGUUGCUACUCAACGCAACUUUGAUGCAACGUCAACACCGUCCAUCAGGGAGUGUCAAUGUCUCUUGCUACCCACAGCAGCAACAUUAUUACUAUGCAAUGGUCAUGAGCAGUGCUGCUAGGUAGCCACGAGUGUACACGGAGGUUGUGUUUAUCAUU